rnacentral:tRNA from 1 species
GGGGCUGUAGCUCAGUUGGGAGAGCGCCUGCUUUGCAAGCAGGAGGUCAUCGGUUCGAUUCCGUUCAGCUCCA